ACGCUCGACACCUACGGGAAGCAGCAGUGAGGAAUAUUGGUCAAUGGGCGCUAGCCUGAACCAGCCAAGUAGCGUGAAGGAUGAAGGCUCUAUGGGUCGUAAACUUCUUUUAUAUAAGAAUAAAGUGCAGUAUGUAUACUGUUUUGUAUGUAUUAUAUGAAUAAGGAUCGGCUAACUCCGUGCCAUCACGCCGACGGUAAUCUGAGGCGGGCUGGACAAGGC
rnacentral:rRNA from 1 species